CAACCUCAGAUCAGACAUGGCGAGCCGCUGAAUUUAAGCAAAUUAGUCAGCAAGGGAAAAGAAACUAACAAGGAUUCCAUCAGUAACGGUGAGCAAAGAGGGAAAAGCCCAGGGCUGAAUCUCCCCCCACAGUGGGGCACGGGACAUGUGACGUACAGAAGCCCCCCUCCUGGGCGGCGCUCUCGGGGGACCCAAAUCCUUGUGAUCGAGGCCGCAGCCUGCAGAUGGUGUGAGGCCGGUAGCGGCCCCCCAGCGCGCCAGGCCCGGGGCUUCUCAGAGUCAGGUUGCUUGGGAAUGCAGCCUAAACCGGAUGGUAAACUUCAUCUAAGGUUAAAUACUGGCACGAGACCGAUAGCCAACAAGAAUUGUAAGAGAAAGUCGAAAAGAACUUUGAAGAGAGAGUUCAAGAGGGUGUGAAACCGUUAAGAGGUAAAUGGGUAGGGCCUGCGCAGUCUGCCUGGAGGAUUCAACCCGGCGAGUUUCAUUCGUCUGGCGCAGGUUUGGCGGAUCCUCGCCUCCGCCUCCCCUCCGUCGCCUGGGCAAACCCCAUCCGUGGUAGCGCCGUGGCGGGGGGCGUCGCUUCUCCCCUCGCGGGGGGUAAGCGUCCUCAAAACACAGCGUUUCUCGCAGGGGUGCAGGGGCUGGGCCCGCUGGCCCCCGGCCCUGCUGUCAACCGGGGCGGACUACGCUCAGUGCGCCCCGACCGCGCGGCGCCACUGGGCUGGGCUCACAGGCUGUGCUGGGGUGCCCGGGGUCACAGCGAUGUUGGCUACCCACCUGACCCGUCUUGAAACAGACCAAGGAGUGAGCUUGACAGGCGGCACGUGCGCGAGUCAGGAGCCAUUGUUGAAAGCCCGCAGCACAAUGAAGGUAAGGUCCGGCGCGCGCCGGCUGAGGUGGGAUCCCGUGGCGCAUGUUGUGCCUGGUAGCCCCAGGCGCACCACCGGCCCGUCUCACCCACCGCCCCUUCACGGGGCCGGGAAGGUGGAGCGUGAGCGUCCGUGCUAGGACCCGAAAGAUGGUGAGCUAUGCCUGGGCAGGGCGAAGCCAGAGGAAACUCUGGUGGAGGUCCGUAGUGGUCCUGACGUGCAAAUCCAUCGUCCGACGCGGGUCUAGGGGCGAAAGACAAAUCAAACCAUCUAGUAGCUGGUUCCCUCUGAAGUUUCCCUCAGGAUAGCUGGCACUUGGCAAUGGGCAGUUUUACCUGGUAAAGCAAAUGAUUAGAGGCCUUGGAGCUGAAACAAUCUCAACCUAUUCUCAAAUUUUCAAUGGGUAAGGGGGCCGGCUCGCUGGCGUGGAGCCACGCCAUGGAAUGCGAAUGCUCAGUGGGCCACUUUUGGUAAGCAGAACUGGCGCUGCGGGAUGAACCGAACACCGAGUUAAGGCGCCCAAUGCUGACACUCAUCAGAGCCCAGCAAAGGUGUUGGUUGAUCUAGACAGCAGGACGGUGGCCAUGAAAAUCGGAAUCCGCUAAGGAGUGUGUAACAACUCACCUGCCGAAUCAACUGGCCCUGAAAAUGGAUGGCGCUGGAGCGUCGGGCCCAUACCCGGCCGUCGCCGGCAGUGCGAUGCCCGUGGGGGCUAGGCCGUGACGAGUAGGAGGGCCACGGCAGUGCGCCUCGAAGCCUGGGGCGUGGGCCCAGGUGGAGCCGCCGCAGGUGCAGAUCUUGGUGGAAGUAGCAAAUAUUCAAACGAGAGCUUUGAAAGCCAAAGUGGAGCAGGGUUCCUUGUGAACAGCAGUUGAACAUGGGUCAGUCAGUCCUAAGCGAUAGGCGAGCGCUGUUCCGAAAGGGCGGGCGAUGGCCUCCGUUGCCCUCAGCUGAUCGAAAGGGAGUCGGGUUCAGAUCCCCGAAUCCGGAGUGGCGGAGACGGGCGCCACGAGGCGCCCAGUGCGGUGACGCAACCGAUCCCGGAGAAGCCGGCGGGAGCACCAGGGAGAGUUCUCUUUUCUUUGUGAAGGGCCGGGCGCCCUGGAAUGGGUUCGCCCUGAUAGAGGGGCCCGCGCCUUGGAAAGCGUCGCGGUUCCAGUGGCAUCCGGUGAGUUCUCGCUGGCCCGUGAAAAUCCGGGGGAGAGGGUGUAAGUCUCGCGCCAGGCCGUACCCAUAUCCGCAGCAGGUCUCCAAGGUGAACAGCCUCUGGCAUGUUGGAACAAUGUAGGUAAGGGAAGUCGGCAAGCCGGAUCCGUAACUUCGGGAUAAGGAUUGGCUCUAAGGGCUGGGUCGGUCGGGCUGGGGCGCGAAGCGGGGCUGGGCGCGCGCCGUGGCUGGACGCGCGCCGGGCCCUUCCUGUGGAUCGUCCCAGCUGCGGCGGGCGCCGCCCAGCCCCCCCCACCCGCCCUCCGCCUUGUCGCGGCCGGCGCCCCGAGCGGUACACGCAGGGGAGGGUCCUCCGGGGGGGUCCCCGGGCUGGCGCCCCGCCUCGGCUGGCGCCUAGCAGCCGGCUUAGAACUGGUGCGGACCAGGGGAAUCCGACUGUUUAAUUAAAACAAAGCAUCGCAAAGGCCCGAGGCGGGUGUUGACGCGAUGUGAUUUCUGCCCAGUGCUCUGAAUGUUAAAGUGAAGAAAUUCAAUGAAGCGCGGGUAAACGGCGGGAGUAAUUAUGACUCUCUUAAGAAGAAUAGUUACUAACUGGGCUCAGCUGCAGAAGUCGCACCUCCUCACGGUCCCGCCGGAUGCCCUUGUGGUAACUAAGUUGACUUUUGCCCCAGUGUGAGUGAGGGCAUUUACCAGCCCUCCCUAUUGUUGGGCUUGCCACCCAAUGGUAGUAUCACGAUCUGCUGAAACAAAGAGUUUGCCGCAGCCUGUUCGCUGUUGCACAGUGCCUUGUCCACGGGCCGUUGAUGUUGGACAAAAGUUGGUAGCUCGAGAGAGGGUCGACUACUGACUAUUUCUACCCUCACUUGGACUGGUCAUUUCUUUAACUUACCGGACUGACAUAAUGGUGCAAUCUCUAGCUUUGCGUUACAUCUCUACUGCAACUCAGACUGACCCAUUAGAUCUAAGGGUCAAUGAUGCCAAAUCUGUGCCCUCUCUGCCCAGGGAAGAGGGGUUCAAUCUUGUAAGUCUAGAGUUUGUUAACUCUGGAAUUGUCAAAGGAGAUGGUAUACAUCAUGCAGAUGUCUGGGAGUUUCUGGGGCAACUCCCUGAGCCAUAUGAGAUCUCCCCUAUGGGGCUGGCCCAGGAAGAGGCUGUGAGUGCAGAGGGAAGUUUCAAAGAGCCCAGAACACCUGAGGCCGAAAGUAGGAGGGGGGAUACUGAAGAGCCCAAAACACCCGAGGCUCCUUACGGGUCCAAAGCUAUUGGUAGUAUGCCAAAAACACCGGUCGUAUCGAUGCCGGACAAACAGCCAUCUUGUCCUCAAUGUGAGACCCGGUUUACUAGGAUGCUGGGGCUGAUUGAUCAUCUUAAAAGGGUGCACGGGCAGAGAAAGAUCAUUUUCAGAUGUGCGAAGUGUGGUAAACAAAAUCUAAAAUACCACAGUAUCUCAUGUCACAUCCCGCGUUGCAAGGGAAUGGUGUGUGUGGCUCCCACAGGUGACUGGGUCUGUGAGGUGUGCCAUCGAGGGUUUGCCACCAAGAUUGGCCUGGGUCAGCACAAGAGGAUAAGACAUCCUCUUGUGUGGAAUGAGGAGCGGAUUAUUGCUUCCCAUCCUAAAGAGUCAUCGGCCUGAGGGGCCCACAAACAAGUAUGGACUGAAGAGGAAGAGGCUCUCCUGAUACAACUGGUGUACAAGUACACCGGUAAAAGGAACAUUAAUCAACCUUUAGCGGAGCAUAUUCCAAUGAAGACAGCAAAGCAGAUAAGCGAUAAAAGGCGCCGUCUAGUGAAAGGUCCCUCCGCAGAAGAACAUGAAGGCCUAGUAGGCGCCGUGGGGAUCGAACAUCCACCCGAGUCUGCUAAAUUGCCGAAGGAGGGACAGUUAAAGCUCCAAUACCGCAAGAUGAUCAAAGCGGGACUAUCGGUUGGAAAGUUCACCAUGUAUCGGGAGGCCUUUGAGAAAAUUGUUGAUGGGCAAGAUCCAGGUCGUGUGGUGAAUGACGUAUAUAACGAGUUUCUCGGUAUUCUGGGGGAGCCUAGCCAGAGCAAAUCUAUCUGUAAGGGUCGAAAAAAGCAGGCACCCCGUGGCGAAAAAACAUCCAAGACUACACCAAAUUGGAUGUGUGAAAGAGCUAUCAAGAGGGCCAAAUUCUUGCGAUUUCAGUUGUUGUUCAAGUCACAUAGAAGGCGCCUCACGCGUAUCAUCUUGGACAGGACGGAAGCCAUUCAGUGCCAGGUACCAUUGAGCGUUGUCCACGAUCACUUUAAGAAUAGAUGGGAUACAUCUGGUACAUUUGGUGGCCUCUUAGGUUUCCCUCCUUAUAAGGAGGCGAACAAUGUGGUGUUCGAGGCCCUAAUUACAGAGAAAGAGGUGGAUAAGAACUUGAAAGAGAUGUGUAAAACCUCCGCUCCCGGGCCAGAUGGGAUUACUCUGGGUCAAAUUAUUGCAAAAGACCCGAGAUUUUCCCGGUUGACUGAGAUCUUCAACCUCUGGCUUAUUAGCGGUACAAUUCCAGAUGCGCUGCGGGACUGCAGGACAGUCUUGAUACCCAAGUCUUCAGAUGUAGAGAAGCUUGGUGAUAUCAAUAACUGGAGGCCUAUCACUAUUGGUUCAAUGGUGAUUGGGCUAUUUUCCAGGAUCGCCACGGCGAGGCUGUCCAAAGCUUGUCCCAUUAACCCCCGGCAACGGGGUUUUAUUUGCGCAUCAGGGUGUGCCGAGAACCUCAAGUUGUUACAACUUGUGGUAAAAACAGCAAAACGAGAGCACAAACAUCUGGGGGUCGUGUUCGUGGACAUCGCUAAGGCAUUUGACACCGUGUGUCAUGAGCAUGUAUUUGAGGGUCUGGUCCAGAGAGGUGUGGAUUCACACGUGAUUGAUUUAGUGAGGGAAAUGUAUCAUGAUGUCAGGACGUACAUUUCCGUUGGAAGGGGAAGAACAGACCCCAUAUGCAUUUGCUCAGGUGUCAAACAGGGCAACCCUAUGUCACCUCUGCUGUUUAAUUUAGCGAUCGACCCCCUUCUAUGUAAACUUGAACGUGAAGGUGAAGGUUUCCAUCAUGGGGGUUGGAAAACUACAGCCAUGGCAUUUGCCAAUGACCUAGUGCUCCUGAGUGAUUCCUGGGAAGGCAUGUGUUGUAACAUCAAAAUUCUGGAGGCCUUUUGUAAUCUUACUGGCCUCAGUACGAAGGGUGAAAAAUGUCACUUUUACACUUUGGCUUUUACAUCAAGCCAACAAGGGACUCAUAUACUAUCAAUGAUUGUCCCGCAUGGGUAAUAAACGGAUCCCCUCUUAACAUGAUCGACCCAGGUUCCUCAGAAAGAUAUCUUGGCACAUGGGUAGACCCCUGGACUGGCUUCGCAGACCCUAGAUUAUCAGAGAAGCUAACUGAUUGGCUCCAUCGAAUUGGUCGUUCGCCUUUAAAACCUCUCCAGAAAGUCGAUAUACUCAGGACUUAUACUAUUCCGAGACUGAUAUAUUUGGCUGACCAUACUGAGGUUAAGGUGGGCCUCCUUGAAUCCCUUGACCAGUUGAUUCGUAAUACGGUCAAGGAAUGGCUUCAUCUUCCACAAAGUACGUGUGAUGCGAUCUUGUACUCGAGUUUCAAAGAUGGUGGUUUAGGUCUCAUCAGAUUGGUGGCGCUUAUUCCAAGUAUACAGGCGAGAAGACUGCAUAGAUUGGCACAAUCUUUGGAUGAGACUCUUGUGAAUUAUUUGAAGGAAAUCCAUCUGGAACGGUUAUUUGAAAGAUUGUAGCUAAAAGCAGGGGGGACACAAGAGUCCGUCCCAUCAAUUUGGGAGCCUCUACCGGCGGUAGAGUUGGGGGGUGAUGAUGAAGCCCGGCUUGAAUGGGAAGCACCCGCUCCUAAAAUUUGCUAUCCAAAACCGUGUAAUUGGAGGAAAUUAGAAUUUCAAAAGUGGAUCCACCUGGUAUCCCAGGGUCAUGGAAUUGAAAAUUUUGAAAAUGAUGAGAUCAGUAAUGCCUGGAUAAGGUGGUUUGGGGGCAUACCUCACCGAAAAUUAAUCACGGCCCUACAAUUAAGAGCCAAUGUCUACCCGACAAGGGAAUUCCUGGCUAGGGGUAGACAGGAGAAUGUUGUUCAAUCCUGCCGACAUUGUGGAGCUAGAUAUGAGACUGUGGCCCACAUUGUCGGCAACUGCGCCAUCACUCAGGAAGCCAGGAUUAAGAGACAUAACGCCAUCUGUGAAACUCUUAGCGAAGAGGCUAAGAGGGAGUGUUGGGCAGUAUACGAGGAGCCACACAUUAGGGAUGAGGCAAACGAAUUGUUUAAACCGGAUUUGAUCUUUGUUAAAGGGUCUAAAGCAGUCGUGGUUGAUGUGACAGUGAGGUACGAACACUCUGAAAUCUCAUUGAGUGAAGCAGCCUCGGAAAAGGCCAAGAAAUAUCAGCGCCUUCAUAAGCAGAUUGAACAAUUGACGAAUGCAAAGGAAAUUGAAUAUGUUGGCUUCCCCAUGGGAGCCUGUGGCAAAUGGUUAGGCAAGAAUACUGAGUUGCUGACUGCCCUUGGUCUCUCUAAAACGAGGCUAGAGAGAACCGCGAGGGCCCUAGCAUCUAAAGUACUCUUCGCCUCUGUCGAUAUUGCACAUAUUUUUGUAAGCAAAGCUAGAUCGACUGUAUCUGUAAAUACAUUGUAAAUAAACAAGGCCCCUCCCCUUGGCUGGGUCCGCUGGACAGUGGAAUCGGUUUUGGGUGGGAGGGGUUCAUCCCUCAUUACCGCGUCUUAGCCCAUAUUUGGGUUAAAAAUUCUGAUUUGGACAUCAGGUGGACGGGCCACCUUACUUAACCCGGAAAAGGAACAUAUACAGUUUGUAUGUGUUUAAUAAAUAGCCAAAUGCCUCGUCAUCUAAUUAGUGGCGCGCAUGAAUGGAUGAACGAGAUUCCCACUGUCCCUACCUACUAUCCAGUGAAACCACAGCCAAGGGAACGGACUUGGCGGAAUCAGCGGGGAAAGAAGACCCUGUUGAGCUUGACUCUAGUCUGGCGCUGUGAAGAGACAUGAGAGGUGUAGAAUAAGUGGGAAGCCGGGCACGCGCUCGGCGGUGCAGGGCAACCCGCCCGCCAGCGUCCUGGCCAUCAGUGAAAUACCACUACUCUGAUUGUGUUUUCACUUACCCAGUGAGGCGGGGGGGGGGGAGGGGGGGGGGGGCGAACCCCGAGGGGGGCUCUUGCUUCUGGCGCCAAGCGGCCGGUGUGCGCCGGCCGCGACCCGCUCCGGGGACAGCGGCAGGUGGGGAGUUUGACUGGGCCGGUACACCUGUCAAAGCGUAAUGCAGGUGUCCUAAGGCAAGCUCAGGGAGGACGGAAACCUCCCAUGGAGCAGAAGGGCAAAAGCUCGCUUGAUCUUUAUUUUCAGUACGAAUACAGACCAUGAAAGCGGGGCCUCAUGAUCCUUCUGGCUUUUUUGGGUUUUAAGCAGGAGGUGUCAGAAAAGUUACCACAGGGAUAACUGGCUUGUGGCGGCCAAGCGUUCAUAGCGACAUCGCUUUUUGAUCCUUCGAUGUCAGCUCUUCCUAUCAUUGUGAAGCAGAAUUCACCAAGCGUUGGAUUGUUCACCCACUAAUAGGGAAUCUGAGCUUGGUUUAGACCGUCAUGAGACAGGUUAGUUUUACCCUUCUGAUGAUGUGCUGU